rnacentral:rRNA from 1 species
AUGCCGGCAGAGUCGCCGGCUACGGAGUUCGUUACAAAGUCUGGAAAAUGGCCAACCGAGAUUUCAAAGUUGCCAUUCCCUAACCCAGCUCCAUACGCAGCUAAAUUGUGCGCAGCAACAUUACAUGAUCUUGGGCAAGUACCUAAUUUAACAACAUCAAGAGCUUUAUUUCCUGAAACAGAGAACCUAGCGCAGCUGAAUUGCAAUCUUGAGUUGAAACCACCUGCUUUAGUCGGUCUCCAAUAUGAUUUGACUGCAUCCCAUUCUUGCAGUAGCAUUUAUAGCGUGCAACAUGGCCAGGGCUUCAGCGUGUAG